rnacentral:rRNA from 1 species
UACGUAGGGUGCGAGCGUUUGUCCGGAAUUAUUGGGCGUAAAGAGCUCGUAGGCGGUGUGUCGCGUCGGUCGUGAAAACUUGGGGCUUAACCCUGAGCUUGCGGUCGAUACGGGCAUCACUGGAGUUCGGCAGGGGAGACUGGAAUUCCUGGUGUAGCGGUGAAAUGCGCAGAUAUCAGGAGGAACACCGGUGGCGAAGGCGGGUCUCUGGGCCGUAAUUGACGCUGAGGAGCGAAAGCAUGGGGAGCGAACAGG